GACGGAGGAUGCAAGUGUUAUCCGGAAUCACUGGGCGUAAAGCGUCUGUAGGUGGUCAAAUAAGUCAACUGUUAAAUCUUGAGGCUCAACCUCAAAAUCGCAGUCGAAACUAUUCGACUAGAGUAUAGUAGGGUAAAGGGAAUUCCAGUGGAGCGGUGAAAUGCGUAGAGAUCCGGAGGAACACCAAAGGCGAAGGCAGUGUCCUGGGAGUACCGUGACGCUCAGGUGCGAAAGCCAGGGAGCGAACGGG
rnacentral:rRNA from 1 species